rnacentral:pre_miRNA from 1 species
UUAACUCAAAUUUGUAUGGAGUAGGAACGUUUGAAUACGUUUGGCGCUAGGGGUGGUGUUCCAACUGCAUAAAAAUUUCAGUUA